rnacentral:rRNA from 1 species
UACGAAGGGUGCUAGCGUUGCUCGGAAUCACUGGGCGUAAAGGGUGCGUAGGCGGGUCUUUAAGUCAGAGGUGAAAUCCUGGAGCUCAACUCCAGAACUGCCUUUGAUACUGAAGAUCUUGAGUUCGGGAGAGGUGAGUGGAACUGCGAGUGUAGAGGUGAAAUUCGUAGAUAUUCGCAAGAACACCAGUGGCGAAGGCGGCUCACUGGCCCGAUACUGACGCUGAGGCACGAAAGCGUGGGGAGCAAACAGG